GACGAACGCUGGCGGCGUGCUUAACACAUGCAAGUCGAACGAUGAACCGGUUUCGGCCGGGGAGUAGUGGCGAACGGGGGAAUAACACGUGGGCAAUCUGCGCUGCACGCUGGGAUAAGCCCGGGAAACUCGGGCUAAUAUCGGAUACGACACUCCGAGGCAUCUUGGGGUGUGGAAAGUUGCGGCGGUGCAGGAUGAGGGCGGGGCCUAUCAGCGUGUUGGUGGGGUAAUGGCCUAGCAAGGCGACGAAGGGUAGCCGGCCUGAGAGGGUGACCGGCGCGACUGGGACUGAGACACGGCCCAGACUCCUACGGGAGGCAGCAGUGGGGAAUAGUGCACAAUGGGCGAAAGCCUGAUGCAGUGACGCCGCGUGAGGAAUGACGGCCUUCGGGUUGUAAACCUCUUUCAGCAGGGAAGAAGCGAAAGUGACGGUACCUGCAGAAGAAGCACCGGCUAACUACGUG
rnacentral:rRNA from 1 species